GACGAGCCCUUUACUGACGCUAAAGCUCGAAGGUGCGGGUAUCGAACAGGAUUAGAUACCCUGGUAGUCCGCACGGUAAACGAUGGAUGCCCGCUGUUGGCGAUAUACAGCCAGUGGCCAAGCGAAAGCGUUAAGCAUCCCACCUGGGGAGUACGCCGGCAACGGUGAAACUCAAAGGAAUUGACGGGGGCCCGCACAAGCGGAGGAACAUGUGGUUUAAUUCGAUGAUACGCGAGGAACCUUACCCGGGCUUGAACUGCAGCAGAACGAUAGAGAGAUCUUGAGGCCCUUCGGGGCUGCUGUGGAGGUGCUGCAUGGUUGUCGUCAGCUCGUGCCGUGAGGUGUCGGCUUAAGUGCCAUAACGAGCGCAACCCCUUUCGCCAGUUGCCAUCAGGUGAUGCUGGGCACUCCGGCGACACUGCCACCGCAAGGUGUGAGGAAGGUGGGGAUGACGUCAAAUCAGCACGGCCCUUACGUCCGGGGCUACACACGUGUUACAAUGGGGAGUACAGAGAGUCAGGCGUUGGCAACACCGCCUUAAUCAAUAAAGCUCUCCUCAGUUCGGAUUGGGGUCUGCAACCCGACCCCAUGAAGCUGGAUU
rnacentral:rRNA from 1 species